GCCGGGCAUGGUGGUGUGUGCCCGUAAUCCCAGCUACUCAGGAGGCUGAGACAGGGGAAUUGCUUGAACCUGGGAGGCAGAGGUUGCAGUGAGCCAAGAUCAUGCCACUGCACUCCAGCCUAGGUGACAGAGCGAGACUCUGUCUCAA
rnacentral:SRP_RNA from 1 species